UGGGCUGGGGCUCAGUGGUAGAGCACUUGCCUGGCAUGUGUGAGGCACUGGGUUCGAUCCUCAGCACCACAA
rnacentral:tRNA from 1 species